GAUGAACGCUAGCGGCAGGCUUAAUACAUGCAAGUCGAGGGGCAGCAGGUCUGUAGCAAUAUAGAUGCUGGCGACCGGCAAACGGGUGCGGAACACGUACACAACCUUCCUUCGAGCGGGGAAUAGCCCGGGGAAACCCGGAUUAAUACCCCAUAGUAUGGUGAAGAGGCAUCUCUUUACUCUUAAAGAUUUAUCACUUGAAGAUGGGUGUGCGGCUGAUUAGCUAGUUGGCGGGGUAACGGCCCCACAAGGCAACAAUCAGUAAGUGGGGGAGGGGCACACCAAGCAACCGGGGACUGGGGAAAGGGGCCCGCUCCCACCGGAGGCAGCAGUAAGGAAUAUUGGUCAAUGGACGAAAGUCUGAACCAGCCAUGCCGCGUGGAGGAUGAAGGUCCUCUGGAUUGUAAACUUCUUUUAUCUGGGACGAAAAAAGGGAAUUCUUUUCCGACUGACGGUACCAGAUGAAUAAGCACCGGCUAACUCCGUGCCAGCCGCCGCGGUAACAC
rnacentral:rRNA from 1 species